rnacentral:rRNA from 1 species
CAAUAGCGUAUAUUAAAGUUGUUGCAGUUAAAAAGCUCGUAGUUGGAUUUCUGGUGGGAGCGAUCGGUCUGGCGCUUAGCGCGAGUACUUGCAUCGUCUCCGGCCAUCCUUGGGGAGAGUCUGUCUGGCAUUAAGUUGUCGGGCAGAGGAUCCUCAUCGUUUACUGUGAAAAAAUUAGAGUGUUCAAAGCAGGCUUAUGCCGUUGAAUACAUUAGCAUGGAAUAAUAAGAUAGGACUUUGGUACUAUUUUGUUGGUUUGCGCACCAAAGUAAUGAUUAAUAGGGACAGUUGGGGGUAUUCGUAUUCCGUUGUCAGAGGUGAAAUUCUUGGAUUUACGGAAGACGAACUACUGCGAAAGCAUUUACCAAGGAUGUUUUCAUUAA